GAUGAAGAACGUAGCGAAAUGCGAUAAGUAAUGUGAAUUGCAGAAUUCAGUGAAUCAUCGAAUCUUUGAACGCACCUUGCACCCUUUGGUAUUCCGAAGGGUAUGCUCGUUUGAGUGUCAUUGUACUCUCACACUUCUAAUUCCUUUCGGGAUUGGGAGCGGUGGACUUGGGUGUUGCUGCUUUAGUUGUGGCUCACCUCAAAUAAGUUAGUGCAACUCUUGGUUGGACAUAGUACGGCGUGAUAAGUGUCUUCGCCGGCGCCUCUGUAAGGAGGGUGGCCGAUCGGGAGCUCUGUGCUUCAAACCGUCUUCGGACAAUCUUUGACAACUUGACCUCAAAUCGAGUAGGACUACCCGCUGAACUUAAACAUAUCAAUAAGCGGAGGA
rnacentral:misc_RNA from 1 species